rnacentral:rRNA from 1 species
CCUACGGGAGGCAGCAGUGGGGAAUAUUGCACAAUGGGGGAAACCCUGAUGCAGCGACGCCGCGUGAGUGAAGAAGUAUUUCGGUAUGUAAAGCUCUAUCAGCAGGGAAGAAAUAAAGUCCUUCGGACUUUGGACGGUACCUGACUAAGAAGCCACGUCUAACUACGUGCCAGCAGCCGCGGUAAUACGUAGGGGGCAAGCUUUAUUCGGAUUUACUGGGUGUAAAGGGAGCGUAGACGGCAGCGCAAGUCUGGAGUGAAAUCCCAUGGCUUAACCAUGGAACUGCUUUGGAAACUGUGCAGCUGGAGUGCAGGAGAGGUAAGCGGAAUUCCUAGUGUAGCGGUGAAAUGCGGAGAUAUUAGGAGGAACACCAGUGGCGAAGGCGGCUUACUGGACUGUAACUGACGUUGAGGCUCGAAAGCGUGGGGAGCAAACAGGAUUAGAUACCCCAGUAGUC